rnacentral:misc_RNA from 1 species
GAGAGAGAGAGAGAGAGAGAGAGGGGGUGAUGGAGAGAUCCACAAAAACGAUUCGUUUUGGGAACAAAACCGGUGCCACAGAUCGUUAGUCGUGGAAUCUUUUACGAGUAUAAUCUGAUUCGAUUCCGAUUGAGAAUAUUGUUGUUGACCGUACGAACGAUCUUUGUGGACCGGAGAGGAUGCCGUCUCACGGGGAUCUGGACCGUCAGAUCGAACACCUCAUGGAGUGCAAGCCGUUGCCGGAGGCCGAGGUCAAGACUCUCUGUGAUCAAGCCAAGGCGAUUCUCGUCGAGGAGUGGAACGUGCAGCCAGUGAAAUGUCCGGUCACCGUUUGCGGUGAUAUUCACGGGCAGUUCUACGAUCUCAU